rnacentral:tRNA from 1 species
GAAACACGAGACCCAGAAAAAAGCUUCUAACUUUGCCUCUAAGCGGCGCACCACCGUUUGUGUUUCU